rnacentral:rRNA from 1 species
GACACGACUCUCGGCAAUGGAUAUCUCGGCUCUCGCAUCGAUGAAGAGCGCAGCGAAAUGCGAUACGUGGUGUGAUUUGCAGAAUCCCGCGAACCAUCGAGUCUUUGAACGCAAGUUGCGCCCGAGGCCAACCGGCCGAGGGCACGUCCGCCUGGGCGUCAAG